rnacentral:ribozyme from 13 species
UCGCAAAAAAAAAAAAAAAAAAAAAAAAAAAAAAAAAAAAAAA